CGAAAGAUUUGUACUUUGGAAUAACAUCAGAUUUCGACAAGAGAUUAGAAUCUCAUAAUCAAGGUAAGAACCAAUCUACAAAAUUUGGCGUACCUUGGGAGUUUGUAUACAUAGAAAGUUAUAGAUCAGAAAAAGAUGCGAGAGUUCGUGAACGAAAGUUAAAACAUUAUGGCAAUGCGCGAACUUAUGUAAAGAGACGAAUUAAAAAUAGUCUUUUGUAGCACGAAAAAGGUGCUGGGUGAUGGUACUGUAGGAAUAAGGAGCUGCUAACCUCGUGCCAGCAGCCGCGGUAAGACGAGGGCUCCAAGCGUUAUCCGGAUUUAUUGGGCGUAAAGAGUGCGUAGGAGGAUUUUUAAGUUUGCUGUAAAAUCUCGGGGCUUAACUUCGAGGCUGCAGCAAAUACUGAAAAUCUAGAGUGUGUAAGAGGCUGAUAGAACUCACGGUGUAGGGGUGAAAUCCGUUGAUAUCGUGGGGAAUACCAAAGGCGAAGGCAUUCAGCUGGUGCAUUACUGACUCUCAUUGCACGAAAGCGUGGGGAGCAAAAAGGAUUAGAUACCCUUGUAGUCCACGCCCUAAACUAUGUCAACUGGCUAUUUCGAGUAUCGACCCUCGGAGUGGCGAAGCUAACGCGUUAAGUUGACCGCCUGGGAAGUACGGCCGCAAGGCUAAAACUCAAAGGAAUAGACGGGGACUCGCACAAGCGGUGGAGCAUGAGGUUCAAUUCGACGGUAAACGAGGAACCUUACCAGGGUUAGAAAUCCAGACGAAGUCCCGCAGAAACGCGGGAUGUCUCUCAAGGACGGCUGGACAGGUGCUGCAUGGUUGUCGUCAGCUCGUGUUUUGAAAUGUUCCCUUAAGUGGGGUAACGAGCGCAACCCUUACCUGAUGUUAUAUGUGUCAUCGGGAACUGCCCUCUUUUUGGGGGAGGAAGGCGGGGAUGACGUCAAAUCCGCAUGGCCCUCUGAUACCCUGGGCUACACUCGUGCUACAAUGGCCAAUACAAUGGGUUGCCAAGCCGCAAGGCGGAGCUAAUCCCACCAAAAAUGGCCCCAGUUCAGAUUGGAGGCUGCAACUCGCCUCCAUGAAGUCGGAAUCGCUAGUAAUCGCGGAUCAGCUAUGCCGCGGUGAAUACGUUCUCGAGUCCUGUACUCACCGCCCGUCACUGCAGGGGAGCCGGGAAUACCUAAAGUUUCAUUUUAUGGAAUAAGGGUAGAUUCGGUGACAUGGCAGAAGUCGUAACAAGGCACGCGUAGCGGAAGCUGUGCGUG
rnacentral:rRNA from 1 species